rnacentral:lncRNA from 1 species
CUACUACACAACCAAUUCUUGUACUUUUCUCUUCACAAAAUCCGUUGUUAUUUUCAUUUCUCAUCAACCAAAACAACACAUACACACACCAAUGGAAGGAACUAGUAGCAUAGAUCAAGAGAGCACUACUAGUGACUCUCUCUCCAUUGCUCCGGCGGCAUCGUCAUCGAUGGUUGUAAAGCAACAACCAUCGAUGACGACGACCAAGCCGCCGGAGAGUCUUUGUAGGAUGGGGAGUGGAACAAGUAGUGUGAUAAUUGAUGGUGAAAAUGGUGUUGAAGCUGAAUCAAGAAAACUCCCAUCUUCAAAAUACAAAGGUGUGGUCCCUC